AUUGAACGCUGGCGGCAGGCCUAACACAUGCAAGUCGAACGAGUGGCGGACGGGUGAGUAAUGUCUGGGAAACUGCCCGAUGGAGGGGGAUACCUACUGGAAACGGUAGCUAAUACCGCAUACCAUCGGAUGUGCCCAGAUGGGAUUUGCUAGUAGGUGGGGUAACGGCUCACCUAGGCGACGAUCCCUAGCUGGUCUGAGAGGAUGACCGGCCACACUGGAACGGAGACACGGGCCGAACUCCUACGGAAGGCGGCAGUGGGAAAUAUUGCACAAUGGGGGAAGGCCGGAUGCAGCACUGCGGCGUGUAUGAAGAGGGCCUUCGGGUUGUAAAGUACUUUCAGCGAGGAGGCGUUACUCGCAGAAGAAGCAUCGGCUAACUCCGUGCCAGCCGCCGCGGUAAUUC
rnacentral:rRNA from 1 species